rnacentral:rRNA from 1 species
AGCGACGCCGCGUGGGGGACGAAGGCCUUCGGGUCGUAAACCCUGUUAGGUGGGACGAACAUCUCCCCACAAAAAGUGGAGAGACAUGACGGUACCUGAGGAGGAAGCCCCGGCUAACUACGUGCCAGCAGCCGCGGUAAUACGUAGGAGGCAAGCGUUGUCCGGAAUCAUUGGGCGUAAAGGGCGCGUAGGCGGAUAUUUAAGUCUGGUGUGAAAACCUGGGGCUCAACUUCAGGAGUGCAUCGGAAACUGGAUAUCUUGAGGACAGGAGAGGAAAGUGGAAUUCCACGUGUAGCGGUGAAAUGCGUAGAUAUGUGGAGGAACACCAGUGGCGAAGGCGACUUUCUGGACUGUAACUGACGCUGAGGCGCGAAAGCGUGGGGAGCAAACAGGAUUAGAUACCCUGGUAGUCCACGCCGUAAACGAUGAGUGCUAGGUGUAGAGGGUAUCGACCCCUUCUGUGCCGCAGUAAACACAAUAAGCACUCCGCCUGGGGAGUACGGCCGCAAGGUUG